rnacentral:rRNA from 1 species
UACGUAGGGUGCGAGCGUUGUCCGGAAUUAUUGGGCGUAAAGAGCUUGUAGGUGGUUUGUCGCGUCUGCUGUGAAAAUCCGAGGCUCAACCUCGGACUUGCAGUGGGUACGGGCAGACUAGAGUGGUGGUAGGGGAGACUGGAAUUCCUGGGUGUAGCGGUGGAAGUGCGCAGAUAUCAGGAGGAACACCGGUGGCGAAGGCGGAUCUCUGGGCCAUUACUGACGCUGAGGAGCGAAA